rnacentral:rRNA from 1 species
GAUGAACGCUGGCGGCGUGCCUAAUACAUGCAAGUCGAGCGAACAGACGAGGAGCUUGCUCCUCUGACGUUAGCGGCGGACGGGUGAGUAACACGUGGAUAACCUACCUAUAAGACUGGGAUAACUUCGGGAAACCGGAGCUAAUACCGGAUAAUAUAUUGAACCGCAUGGUUCAAUAGUGAAAGACGGUUUUGCUGUCACUUAUAGAUGGUUCCGCGCCGCAUUAGCUAGUUGGUAAGGUAACGGCUUACCAAGGCAACGAUGCGUAGCCGACCUGAGAGGGUGAUCGGCCACACUGGAACUGAGACACGGUCCAGACUCCUACGGGAGGCAGCAGUAGGGAAUCUUCCGCAAUGGGCGAAAGCCUGACGGAGCAACACCGCGUGAGUGAUGAAGGUCUUCGGAUCGUAAAACUCUGUUAUUAGGGAAGAACAAAUGUGUAAGUAACUAUGCACGUCUUGACGGUACCUAAUCAGAAAGCCACGGCUAACUACGUG